rnacentral:rRNA from 1 species
GAUGAACGCUGGCGGCGUGCCUAAUACAUGCAAGUCGAGCGAACUGAUUAGAAGCUUGCUUCUAUGACGUUAGCGGCGGACGGGUGGGUAACACGUGGGCAACCUGCCUGUAAGACUGGGAUAACUUCGGGAAACCGAAGCUAAUACCGGAUAGGAUCUUCUCCUUCAUGGGAGAUGAUUGAAAGAUGGUUUCGGCUAUCACUUACAGAUGGGCCCGCGGUGCAUUAGCUAGUUGGUGAGGUAACGGCUCACCAAGGCAACGAUGCAUAGCCGACCUGAGAGGGUGAUCGGCCACACUGGGACUGAGACACGGCCCAGACUCCUACGGGAGGCAGCAGUAGGGAAUCUUCCGCAAUGGACGAAAGUCUGACGGAGCAACGCCGCGUGAGUGAUGAAGGCUUUCGGGUCGUAAAACUCUGUUGUUAGCGAAGAACAAGUACGAGAGUAACUGCUCGUACCUUGACGGUACCUAACCAGAAAGCCACGGCUAACUACGUGCCAGCCGCCGCAGUAAAAC